ensembl:snRNA U6 U6 spliceosomal RNA
GCGCUUGCUUCAGGAGCACAUACACUAAAAUUGGAAUGAUACGGUGUGGUCCCCGCACAAUGAUGACACGCAAAUUUGUGAAGCAUUCCAUAUUUAU